rnacentral:rRNA from 1 species
GGAUUAAAUAUUAAAAAUAAUUUUUUAAAAAAUUGAAUAAAAUUAAU